UAAAGAAAGAAGUGUUGUGCAAUGGCCAGCAGCACGGACAAAGGCGCAAAGGUGGACGGAGGUCUGGGGUUCGAGUCUCGCCUCGCGCACAGAAGGCUUGGGUUUUUGCUGCUCACGUGGGGAAGGAGUUGGAGUCUGAUUCGGACUCUCCUGGCAGCAUGCUGAAACGGUGCAAGGGGUGGAUAAGGAUGCUGCUAAUCAGUGGGGGAGUUUGAACUGAUCAGGGGAUUGGGUAAGGAUAAGAUAAGGGAGGAAAUUUAGGAGUUGCUGAUCAAGGACUUGGUGUUGGCCGAAUGUUGGACUCUUGAAGGGCAAGAGUUGGCCGGUCAAGGGUUUUUUUAUCAUAGCCGAAUCUCUACUCUUUUCUUCCUUAAAAAGCCGAAAACCUUCAUACCUGUAGUAUAGGAAGCUGAACCUUUGGCUACUUGAAUCUACUUCUUCUCGUAACAACGGUGGAUUGGAGUUAAGAUCAUAGAUAGGAGCACUUUUCUGGGCCAAACAACGAUUGCGUUAGCGUGGACAAGGCGGCGUGCUGUGGAGGGUUUGAAGACUGAUUCGGAUUGGAUCUCUAGAUCUAGUCCAUAUUUUGGUAGAAAGGCAACACAUGUGUGGAUCUCGCCAGCGUAUCGUUAUUGAUCAGGUGUUUAAACGACACCAGUAACAGCCCAAUUUGGACCCUAAUUGGAACUGUGGUUUCGAGACCACGAAUCCGAGUUAGAAUAAUAUUUAAAUAUUAUUUUCUAUGUUUAAAAUGUGUGAAGUUGCUUUUGUGAAAGUUUCGUUUAAAAAUUUUAGUGUUUGGAGGUCGAUUGAUGAAAAAGGGUUUAAUCGCUUAAAAUGAAAAUUUUAAGGGUUAAUGUAUAAGGGCCAAAUUAUGAUUGUUUUUAUAUUAUGUAAUAUUAAGGUUGCAAUUUGGCCAUAAAUAGGAAUUAGUGGCCAACCAAUAUGCAUGGAUUAAUGACUUGAAUUGUUUAUUAUAUUUUAUGGCAUUAUGGUAUACUUUAAUAUA